rnacentral:rRNA from 1 species
AUACGUAGGGGGCGAGCGUUAUCCGGAUUUAUUGGGCGUAAAGCGUGUGUAGGCGGUUUGUUAAGUUUAAGAUUAAAGCCCGAGGCUUUACCUCGGUUCGUCUUAAAAACUGGCAGACUUGAGUGCAGUAGAGGCAAGUGGAAUUUCUAGUGUAGCGGUUAAAUGCGUAGAUAUUAGAAGGAACACCAGUGGCGAAGGCGGCUUGCUGGGCUGUUACUGACGCUGAGACACGAAAGCGUGGGGAGCAAAUAGGAUUAGAUACCCUAGUAGUCCACGCCGUAAACGAUGAGUACUAAGUGUCGGGCAGCCGGUGCUGAAGUUAACACAUUAAGUACUCCGCCUGAGUAGUACGGUCGCAAGGCUGAAACUCAAAUGAAUUGACGGGG